UUGGAUUCCAGAUACUCCAUGGCUUCACAGACAUCCUUGCACAUAUCUAAAAGCUCAGAGGCCUGGAAGGACCGCCGAGUAUCCCGCAGAUACCACCUAAAACACAAUAAGAUAGUUGUCAAGAAAGAACACCGAGGAUGAAGGUCAAGCACAGAGCCUCGUGGGAGGGAUUUAUUUGGAGUAAAGAAUGAAAAUGAAAUUCUCCAAAA